CACACACAGACACUCUUCCCCCCCCCCCGGCCUGGCCGGGGGAUGCGCCGCUGGGCAACGGGCGGCGCCCCGAAAAGCAGGGGCUGCGGCGGGGGGGGGGGGGGGGCUGCCUGCGGCGAGGGGGGGGCCUGGGCGGGCUCUCGCUGCGCCCGUCCCUCCUUUGCAUCUGCGGGGGGCACGGAUUCCUUUACUGGGUCUGUGGUCAGGGUGCCAGUACUUCAAAUCAAAAGCAAAAGCAAAAAAAAAAAAAAAAAAAGCAGUGCCGUUACGUGUUUAGAAACGUGGUGGGUCCUGUGUUAUGCUCUCCCUAGUCAACAUGAAAAAAAAAAACAAAACAAAAACAAAAUCAGAUUCAUCUGAUUUAACUAAUUUAGCAGAAGACUGGGUAAAGGGAAGGGAAAGGAACUCGCAACACUCUUCGCUGCAUGAAGUAAUGCGCUGAAGAGCAAAGGAGGGAUCAUCUCGCGCUCUGGAAAUCGGCUGCCCUAAAGAGAGGGAAGUGAGCGCCCUGAAGCCGCGCAGCAAGUUUCUCGGCUGACAGUACAGUGUGAUCAACAUGUAGCCCACGCUGUCAUAUGAAGGACGCCUGAUGCCCAAAAUCUAAAAAUACACAUAUUGCACAUCGUGUGGUCUCUCCAGAGGGACUUUCUAAUAGUAAAAUCCAAAGUGUCAAGUGCUUUACCUUACUUCACCAUGUGAUGAUGUGAAUUCUUAGACGGGAACUUCCCCAAAACUGCUGGAAAUCAAGUACAAACUUAACCUGUCAGUUCUGCAAAUGUAUUUGCUAUUCUCAAAACAAUUUUCAUGAUGACUAACAACUAAGAACACUUAAACCCUACCAUGAUACAGAGUAGGUUUAUCAUAACACAGACUGUGUAUUUUUUUCCUCAUGUACUCUGCUUGUUUUCUGUGGAGUGGGGUAAGGAUUUUUCACUUUUAGAUCUUGAAAGCACUGUCUUGAAAACAUCCUUCAGUUCUUCCAUGUUGUUGUUGUUGUAAUUAUUAUUAUUUUCUUACUGUGUAAGCUAUGUUAUGCAAUCAUUUUAAAAAAUAUUUUGCCUUUUAAACUUACUGCUCAGCAGAGCUCUGUCAUCCUUUCUCAGCGGAUUUCUCUUUAUGGUCAUAUUACUGAGCAGAUUAAAAAAAAAUACUACUUUUAGGAUCAAUAA